rnacentral:rRNA from 1 species
UAAUCUCGAGAAGUGUUUUCCGCGUUGGCCUGUGUACAAGUCCCUUGGAACAGGGCGUCAUAGAGGGUGAGAAUCCCGUCCUUGACACAGACACCCAAUGCUUUGUGAUACACUCUCAAUGAGUCGAGUUGUUUGGGAAUGCAGCUCAAAAUGGGUGGUAAAUUCCAUCUAAAGCUAAAUACUGGCGAGAGACCGAUAGCGAACAAGUACCGUGAGGGAAAGAUGAAAAGCACUUUGGAAAGAGAGUCAAACAGUACGUGAAAUUGUUGAAAGGGAAACGAUUGAAGUCAGUCGUGCCUGCCUAGAUUCAGCCUUCUGGUGUAUUUCUAGGUCGGCAGGUCAGCAUCAGUUUGGGGGGGUUAACAAGGGAGCUGGGAAUGUGGCAACCUCGGUUGUGUUAUAGCCCAGUUUCGCAUUGAUCUCGCUGGACUGAGGAACGCAGUGCGCCCGCAAGGGUUGGUCUUCGGACACAUUCGCACUUAGGAUGCUGGCAUAAUGGCUUUAAACGACCCGUCUUGAAACACGGACC